UGGGGAAUUUUGGACAAUGGGGCAACCCUGAUCCAGCAAUGCCGCGUGUGUGAAGAAGGCCUUCGGGUUGUAAAGCACUUUUGUCCGGAAAGAAAACGCCGUGGUUAAUACCCGUGGCGGAUGACGGUACCGGAAGAAUAAGCACCGGCUAACUACGUGCCAGCAGCCGCGGUAAUACGUAGGGUGCAAGCGUUAAUCGGAAUUACUGGGCGUAAAGCGUGCGCAGGCGGUCCGCUAAGACAGAUGUGAAAUCCCCGGGCUUAACCUGGGAACUGCAUUUGUGACUGGCGGGCUAGAGUAUGGCAGAGGGGGGUAGAAUUCCACGUGUAGCAGUGAAAUGCGUAGAGAUGUGGAGGAAUACCGAUGGCGAAGGCAGCCCCCUGGGCCAAUACUGACGCUCAUGCACGAAAGCGUGGGGAGCAAACAGGAUUCAGAUACCCUGGUAGUCCACGCCCUAACGAUGUCAACUAGUUGU
rnacentral:rRNA from 1 species